UACGGAGGGUGCAAGCGUUAUCCGGAUUCACUGGGUUUAAAGGGUGUGUAGGCGGAUAUUUAAGUCCGAGGUGAAAUCUCUGAGCUCAACUCAGAAACUGCCUUGGAUACUGAUUUAUCUUGAAUAUCGUUGAGGUAGGCGGAAUAUGUCAUGUAGCGGUGAAAUGCUUAGAUAUGACAUAGAACACCGAUUGCGAAGGCAGCUUGCUAAACGAUUAUUGACGCUGAGGCACGAAAGCGUGGGGAUCAAACAGG
rnacentral:rRNA from 1 species